AACGAACGCUGGCGGCGCGCCUAAUACAUGCAAGUCGAACGAGAAGCUGUAGCAAUACAGUUGUACAGUGGCGAACGGGUGAGGAAUACAUGGGUGACCUACCCUCGAGUGGGGAAUAACCAGCCGAAAGGUUGGCUAAUACCGCGUACGCUUCCCAGUCUACGGGGUUGGGAAGGAAAGCGAUGCCGUGGGUAUCGCGCUCAAGGUUGGGCUCAUGUCCUAUCAGCUGUUGGUGGGGUAACGGCUCACCAAGGCAACGACGGGUAGCUGGUCUGAGAGGACGAUCAGCCACACUGGCACUGCGACACGGGCCAGACUCCUACGGGAGGCAGCAGUAAGGAAUAUUGCGCAAUGGGCGAAAAGCCUGACGCAGCGACGCCGCGUGGGGGAUGAAGGUCUUCGGAUUGUAAACCCCUUUCGGGA
rnacentral:rRNA from 1 species